rnacentral:rRNA from 1 species
AGGGGAAUAUUGGACAAUGGGCGCAAGCCUGAUCCAGCCAUGCCGCGUGAGUGAUGAAGGCCCUAGGGUUGUAAAGCUCUUUCACCGGUGAAGAUAAUGACGGUAACCGGAGAAGAAGCCCCGGCUAACUUCGUGCCAGCAGCCGCGGUAAUACGAAGGGGGCUAGCGUUGUUCGGAUUUACUGGGCGUAAAGCGCACGUAGGCGGACUUUUAAGUCAGGGGUGAAAUCCCGGGGCUCAACCCCGGAACUGCCUUUGAUCCUGGAAGUCUUGAGUAUGGUAGAGGUGAGAGAAAUUCCGAGUGUGGAGGUGAAAUUCGUAGAUCUUCGGAGGAACACCAGAGGCGAAGGCGGCUCACUGGACCACUACUGACUCUGAGGUGCGAAAGCGUGGGGAGCAAACGGG